GUCUCGGUAGCUUAGUUCGCAGAGCGAUGGGCUAUUGGCCCAGAGUCGCGAGUUCAAGUCUCGCCCGAGACU